rnacentral:rRNA from 1 species
CCUACGGGUGGCAGCAGUGGGGAAUAUUAGGCAAUGGGCGCAAGCCUGACCCAGCAACGCCGCAUGAAGGAAGAAGGCUUUCGGGUUGUAAACUUCUUUUAAGAGGGAAGAGCAGAAGACGGUACCUCUUGAAUAAGCCAAGGCUAACUAGGUGCCAGCCGCCGCGGUAAUACGUAGGUGGCAAGCGUUGUCCGGAUUUAAUGGGUGUAAAGGGCGUGUAGCCGGGCUGACAAGUCAGGUGUGAAAUCCGGGGGCUCAACCCCCGAACUGCCUUUGAAACUGUUGGUCUUGAGUAUCGGAGAGGCAGGCGGAAUUCCUAGUGUAGCGGUGAAAUGCGUAGAUAUUAGGAGGAACACCAGUGGCGAAGGCGGCCUGCUGGACGACAACUGACGGUGAGGCGCGAAAGCGUGGGGAGCAAACAGGAUUAGAUACCCCAGUAGUC